AGAAAGAGGAGUAUCGGGGAGGGGAUGGCAUGUCCGUUCUGUCGACCCGCGCUGCCAAGUGCCACUGGACGUUGGCUAGGAAGGGACACAACACACUCCCUCUCAUGCCCGCAUGUCAUGGGAUUGUUAAUGACCAAUUCUGCCAACUCCAAUCCAUGAAGGAGUCUGUUCAACGAGACUAUGUUGUGAGAGCUGUCACCUGCUUCUGCUUUGCUUGCAUUAAUUUGUUCUCUACUCUGACCGAUCAAAUCUACCAGCAACAGGUUGAUUUUCAAAAGGUUCAUGUUCUGGCCUGUGAACUAUAUGCAAGAACCACCGGUGUUGGUGCAGAGAACAUGAGGCGUGCAUGUGCUGAACUUCUUUAUGCUUGUGAGAUGAAAGACAAGAAUCAUUGCUAUCAGGCUCUUUAUUGGAUCAAGAAUGAAUUUUUUUAUUUGAGGAGAAAACUUGAAAUCCUUGUGCAGAUGGAGAGGCGAAUCAUUGAUCUUGAGAACAUGCAAAGAAACGAAUGAAUCACUUAUGACAGCAAUUGCUGAAGCAUAUCUGGUUGGAAUAUCAGAUAUGCUUUUUGGGCUUCAUUUGUCGGUUUAUCUACUGUAGCCUCAGGUAACCAUUAUGAUGCCAAGUUUCAAAGAAGUUGGAGGAUGGUUUCCCAGAAAAAUGUUUUAGAUGGUAAUAUUUUAAUUUCAAAAUUGUUUUUUGUUAUUUUAAAAACAAAAUUUUAACUACUAAUUAAGUUAAUUAACAUUUCUUUUGUGGUGAUAAUUUUUUUACUUGUGAUUUUCUUAGUAUAGUUUUGGUUUGAUGUUUGAUGAAAUGUAUUUGUUGAUAAAUGUAUUAGACCUGAUCUCUCAACAUGAUCUCCAUUAACGUGGAAAAAAAAAAGAGGCAUAAGCACAAUGACCCUCAUUGUUUGAAUGUUGGAUUGAUGGAGGAGAAAUGGAGGAAUAAAAAUGAAAAAAAAAAAUUAUCUCCUUCAUUGGUAAGAUGAGAGGAAAAAAUUUAUUUUUUAAUAUUCAUGUAGCAUUUUCAAUAAACAUAAGGCUUUUUGUCUAAUUAUAUAUCAAUUUGGUUUGGGACUUAUUGGGCUAGUAGUGGAAUAAUACAAAAGUGAACUUGUGAUUUAGGCUGAGAUCUAGUAAGCUUUGUUAUGGUGUGUAAUGGUCCAAAUCCAAAGUCAGUUGGAGUGACGAGAAGCGGCAAAUCCAAAAAGACUUUGAGGGAAAGGGUGAAAAAUAAAGACUUCAAUAUGUGUAAUACGUUCUUUUGUAUAUAUUAAAAAUAUCUUUUAGUUAAUUAUUAGAGACUCAUUCCUUUUAAAACAUACAUAUUAUUAAAAUAAAUAUAACUUCUUCCUUAGUUAAUAUACUUUUUUUUAUUGACUGUGUUGAUCUUAUAAAUAUUUAUUUUUACUUCCUUAGCUAGGACCCACACCUGCCCCUUAAAUCUGUCCCUAAUUAUGAGGUGAGGCAGUUAUUUCAUUUGACUUGAGUUGUGACAUUGAGUCUAUUCUAAAUGGCAGUGCAUGAGCUCACUUUGAAACAAG